AUCCAGCUGACGAGUCCCAGAUUAGACGAAACGCGUGUCCUGGUU
rfam:Schistosoma curassoni strain Dakar, Senegal genome assembly, scaffold: SCTD_scaffold0011124